rnacentral:rRNA from 1 species
GACGAACGCUGGCGGCGUGCUUAACACAUGCAAGUCGAACGGAAAGGCCCUGCAUUUGUGGGGUGCUCGAGUGGCGAACGGGUGGGUAACAAGUGAGUAACCUGCCCUUGACUUUGGGAUAACUUCAGGAAACUGGGGCUAAUACCGGAUAGGAGCUCCUGCUGCAUGGUGGGGGUUGGAAAGUUUCGGCGGUUGGGGAUGGACUCGCGGCUUAUCAGCUCGUUGGUGGGGUAGUGGCUUACCAAGGCUUUGACGGGUAGCCGGCCUGAGAGGGUGACCGGCCACAUUGGGACUGAGAUACGGCCCAGACUCCUACGGGAGGCAGCAGUGGGGAAUAUUGCACAAUGGGCGGAAGCCUGAUGCAGCAACGCCGCGUGCGGGAUGACGGCCUUCGGGUUGUAAACCGCUUUCGCCUGUGACGAAGCGUGAGUGACGGUAAUGGGUAAAGAAGCACCGGCUAACUACGUG